UUUUGAUAAGGACGGGAUCA
rnacentral:tRNA from 1 species